rnacentral:rRNA from 1 species
GACGAACGCUGGCGGCGUGCUUAACACAUGCAAGUCGAACGGAAAGGCCCUGCUUUUGUGGGGUGCUCGAGUGGCGAACGGGUGAGUAACACGUGAGUAACCUGCCCUUGACUUUGGGAUAACUUCAGGAAACUGGGGCUAAUACCGGAUAGGAUCUCCUGCUGCAUGGUGGGGGUUGGAAAGUUUCGGCGGUUGGGGAUGGACUCGCGGCUUAUCAGCUUGUUGGUGGGGUAGUGGCGUACAAAGGCUUUGACGGGUAGCCGGCCUGAGAGGGUGACCGGCCACAUUGGGACUGAGAUACGGCCCAGACUCCUACGGGAGGCAGCAGUGGGGAAUAGUGCACAAUGGGCGGAAGGCUGAUGCAGCAACGCCGCGUGCGGGAUGACGGCCUUCGGGUUGUAAACCGCUUUCGCCUGUGACGAAGCGUGAGUGACGGUAAUGGGUAAAGAAGCACCGGCUAACUACGUG